UUCGAAUAAAGCUUGACAAUAAUCAAAACCUUUUUUUAAAUCGUCUUCUUUGUAUUGAUAUAAUCGCCUACCACUGAUAAAUGUGUAGUCUAGUCAACGCAAUAAUAUUGUUUGUGUGAUUUCUACUGGCCCUUAAUUAAUAGAGUAACAAUUAUGUUCAUUUCCUUCUUACGUCUCUAUGCAGAAAUUCGCUUAGUCACUUUUCAAAGCAACUACCAAAAAGUCUACCAGUAAGAUAUAUUCUCUCAGUUCAAGUUAUAUUGGGACUGUAAGCUCCCUUUAAACAAUAAGCAACACAUACAUUACAAUGUAAUUUUUGAAUUGUAGACCAUUUAUAGAAAUAUUAAUCUUGUUAUAUUUCUAACUGUAUUUUAUAUUUAUUUAUAUUUUAUUAGAUUUAUGUAAAUUCAUAUAUUUAUAACAAAUCAACUCAAAUCCUAAAAAUGUACAAUAUUAUUAUAUUUAGUAGAUUCUUAGAAUGGUAUUUAGUAAUUGGGGUAUUUAUUUCCCAAAAAUACAAGGUCAUGAGGUAAUAAGAAAUGAGGCAGAAAUCUGGGAAGAUUUUUGGAUCAUUGAUAUUAAUUCCCUAAUUAAAGGGCUAUUUUUUAUAGCUUUUUUCUACUGUAGGAAAAUAUAAACCCCAAUCAAUACAUUGAUAAUUAGCACAAUGCUUUUAAUGUUGCUAAUAAAACAGAUAAAAAUUAAUUUCAAAAUAUAAGAAUUGACGUAA